GGGAGGAUCUCCAGAAAGAGAUCUAUCCUUUGGAGUUUUGCAGCGAGCCCAAGACAAGGGAUCAAAAAGAAGGUGAAGCGCUCUUGUGUCAGCCAAAAGCUGAUUUUGAGGAUGGGAAGAUAAUGCACUGAAAUUUCUAAUAGUAACAAGAAGACUUCAAAGAAACCUGCAGGAGCUGACCCUGCUGUGGACUCCAUGGUGAUGGCAACCUAAGAGAGCCACCAGAGAUAAGUCUAUCACAAACAAAUGACUCCGCAGCUCCAGCCCCAUGCACAUGAGAGCUUGCCUGCCAGCCUUCCCAGCAGCCCAAUGUGUGGAGAGAGGAAGCUCACUCCCCACGCAGCCCAGCUGCCUGCUCUGCCUAACAGAGGAUGCAGAGCAGCCCUACAGGGACUGUGGUGUGGACGUCCAUCACCAGUCCUGUCAGACCAGCUCUUGAACUUCUGUGAGAUGUAGAUGAUUUCUAAAUUUGUUUCCGAGGCUGCUUGCAAUAAUAAAAUAAAAAAAAAGACACUGACAGAACCACAGGGAAAUACGAUCUGAUGUAAAACCACAGUGGUUUUUUACUUUUUUGGAAGGCUUUGUAAUGUGUUUGAAUUGGCCACCUUGCUAUCUUUGGCAGCAACUGCUAAUCCCUCUGUGUCCUUAGCUGGUGUCCUUGAUACUCCAAAUUAACUAAUAUUUUUAGAAGAUUUUAACUUUUAUUCUUGAUUAUGCAAUGGAUAUAUCACUGGAUAUUUUUCAUGUCAGCAUGAUUAAAAUGCUUAAUCCCCUCAGAGAAAUUUGCUAUGAUUUAAACCACUGCUAGAAUUCAUGUUUGAGAUUUAGGAGAGCAAAGAGCCAAGUAGAUUUAAGAGGCAGCAAUUCCUCCAAAAGGUCUUUAUGCUUCAAAAAUGCUGGUACAAACUCUUUGCAGAACAAAACUCAGUGCAAUGCUAUGUGGAUACAAGGAAUGGCUUUCACAUUCUUUGAGCUGUGGCACCCCGGAGUGGGGUUCCAGGUAAGCAGAGAGUUUCUGAGCAGCUGAAAGGUUCUGGGAGGUAAUGUAUCCUUCUCUCCCAUCCCAGCAUGAGACAAUCACUGCAGGUAGCGCUUGCUCAUUUUCCUGGGUUUCACCUCAAAUGCAGGAAAAUAGGAGCCGUGGCACCACUGAGCAAAGCAGUGGUAUGCACCACACUGGUGUUGGGGUCUUUGUGUGUUAAGGAGGAGACAAAGGAGUCACACUGUGGACAACACCUGGGGCACACACAAGGAUGUGAAGCACUCUCAGCAGUGACAGCUGCUUUGGAAAAAUCAUGAAAAAGUCAUAGAACAGCUUAGGUUGGAAGGGACUCUAAGGAUCAUCCACUUACAAUCCGUUCCUGUUGGCAGGGUUGCCACUAAGAUGAUAGGAAUCAAACUCCAAUAAAACAGUCUUAAAAAAAAACCAAAUCUUUUAUGGAUGGCCUUUUCCUGUAAAAUCAUUCUUUUGUAGAAAUAAAGACCUUCAGAAAAUGUGUAAAAAAGAUGAAAUAAUCUUAUCUAUUAGACAUUUUACAUUCAUAAAGGCAUAUUCUCUGUCUUCAUCACUGCAACUUUCUCCACGUUCUUCAGUAUAUUCCUGACUUUAUACAAACCGAUAUAUUAUGGAGCUUAGAUAUAUUCAUGUCUUCAUCCAAUAACUCUAGAGCUGUAUUAAUCAAAUGUAUUUUUUGUGAGGUUUAAAUUUAGGCCCCCAUUUCUCAAAAGUAUCGCUGAUAUCAUUUCUUUUCAACCUGUACUAUGUCAUACAAUAGGCAUAAGCAAACUUUCCAGGGAAUCUGUGAGGUUUAAACAAAGAUCUUUGUGACUGUUAAUAUUGAAAAUAUAAAAAGGUGCUCUGUUCUUGUUGUUGUUUUUUUUUUUUAAUUUUUUAUUCAAUCCUCCUGAGAGAAAGAUUGAAAUGUCAGAGUCACAAAGGGCUUCCAUAUAAAUGGGAGCCAGACUUCUCUUUGGAAUUUUACAGAUAGUUAUUUUCAAACCUGAAUGGCCUGUGAACAACGCCUGUGUUCUUAGAAUGAAUUGCUAAGUUAUAGGUACAGGUGCUAAGCACUGCUGCAUCGAAGCACAAGUUCAGAAAAUGAGAUCAGCUACCAGAGGCACUGCAAAAUUAGGAGCUGGGUGUUGCAACUGAAUGUGUCUCCUGGUUAGAAAUCUCCCUCUGUUAAAACCACUCAUUAGCUAUUCUGUUGAAUGCCACGAAGGAGAUCAAGCCAGGGUGGAAGGACAGAAUGAUUUCAGACUGAGUUUUCAAUUAAAAUCCACAGUCUGCUCUGUUUCUGAUAAUCUCUAAACUCUUUUGAAGAAAUGAUCAUUAUAACUGUGUUUAAUCUGUUUUCAAAACAGACUGUGAAAUAGCCAUUGUGUAUGCACCUUCUGUUUUUAUAACUUCUGUGCUUUGAUAUUGUAAUUGAUGCAAGUGGGCGCAAUUAAAUCUUUAUUUGGAAACUUGCACCAAAGCAAGUCAUUCAGAAAAAAGCCACCAAUGUGCUUUGACUCUAGAUUCUCACACAUAUUUGCACUUACAAUCACAGCUUUUGUUCUGUUAAACUAACAAGGGCUGUUUAGCAUAAGAAAGAGUUAACACAAGCUGCCUUCCCUUGUGCUAAUUUCGGGAAUAAAACUCGAAUGGGAAAAAAUCUGCUGGAAACUAUGCUGUCUCCAUUAAAAAUCACCAAUUUUUUAUUUUAAUAAGUGACUAACUACAAGUGGAAAAGUUUAUUGCUAAAAUGAACAAUGACACAUCAACAAUUACUGUAACUCAGCGAUGAAACCUCUGGAU